rnacentral:rRNA from 1 species
AUUGAACGCUGGCGGCAGGCCUAACACAUGCAAGUCGAGCGAGCGGCGGACGGGUGAGUAAUGUCUGGGAAACUGCCUGAUGGAGGGGGAUAACUACUGGAAACGGUAGCUAAUACCGCAUACCAUCAGAUGUGCCCAGAUGGGAUUAGCUAGUAGGUGGGGUAACGGCUCACCUAGGCGACGAUCCCGACCUGGUCUGAGAGGAUGACCAGCCACACUGGAACUGAGACACGGUCCAGACGCCUACGGGAGGCAGCAGUGGGGAAUAUUGAACAAUGGGCGCAAGCCGGAUGAAGCCAUGCCGCGGGUGUGAAGAAGGCCUUGUGGUUGUAAAGCACUUUCAGCGGGGAGGCGGUACCCGCAGAAGAAGCACCGGCUAACUCCGUGCCAGCAGCCGCGGUAAUAC